AAGUCGUAACAAGGUUUCCGUAGGUGAACCUGCGGAAGGAUCAUUAUUGAAUGAACUUGGUCGGGCUGAUGCUGGUCUCUCCUUGGAGGGGCAUGUGCACGCCUGGCACCAUCUUCUUUUACCACCUGUGCACCUUUUGUAGACUGUGGGGACUACCUUUCCGAGGUCAAACUCGGUUGAAAGGAUUGCUGAUGCCAGCUUUCCUUUGCCUGUCUUCUUGUCUAUGCCUUUUUUUUUUUAUCACAAAUGUAUGACAAUGAAUGUUAUGUUGGGCAUUAUUGCCUUUAAAAACCUAAUACAACUUUCAACAACGGAUCUCUUGGCUCUCGCAUCGAUGAAGAACGCAGCGAAAUGCGAUAAGUAAUGUGAAUUGCAGAAUUCAGUGAAUCAUCGAAUCUUUGAACGCACCUUGCGCUCCUUGGUAUCCCGAGGAGCAUGCCUGUUUGAGUAUCAUGAAAUUCUCAACCUUGCUUUUGCAUCUGUGAAAUCAAGGUUGGAUUGUGGGGGACUUUUUUGCAGGCUUCAAAUCGAAGUCUGCUCUCCUGAAAUAUAUUAGCAGAGUUGCAUGAACAGCUUUUUAUUGGUGUGAUAAUCAUCUAUGCCAUGGGCUGUGAAAGCGAGUUUGCCUUCCAAUUUUAACAUCCGUUAUUCAUGACUUUUUGAUCUCAAAUCAGGUAGGACUACCCGCUGAACUUAAGCAUAUCAAUAAGCGGAGGAAAAGAAACUAACAAGGAUUCCCCUAGUAACUGCGAGUGAAGCGGGAAGAGCUCAAAUUUAAAAUCUGGCAAUCCUUGUGGUUGUCCGAGUUGUAAUCUAGAGAA
rnacentral:misc_RNA from 1 species